rnacentral:misc_RNA from 1 species
CCAAGGGCAGUUCAAACUACCGGCUGCGCAGCACUUGUGCUUUUACCUCAUUCUGCUUGCUCUCGCUGUUCUCUCAUCAUCGGAUGGUCUUUUUUGUUGAGCGCCUGUGGCAGUGGCGCUGACUUGUGCUUGGGAGGGAAGACCGGCUUAGCGCUGACGGCGGCUUCAAAGAGGAGUGAAAGGAGCGGAGAGAGGGAAGUGGCCGUGCGCGCGAGGUGUAAUGUGCCCCGUGCCCCGCCAAGAACGACAGGGCGAAGGGGCCGACGGAGCCGAUCUGUUUCAGCAGUGGGCGCCCAAGUGAGGAUGCGGCUUUGUUAGGGCGCUAAAACAGCUCCCCUCCACAUCAACAGCAAAGGCUCUGUGUAGGGAAGGAAUAGAACACCUGUCGUCACGACUGCCCUCUUCACCGCCCGCCGACGUCAAUGGUCUACCACUCACCAACUUCCCUUGAACUUGAAAGCAAGGGAAGGAGGCAGCAGCUGAGACGCGAGGCUGUUGCCGCUUCUCCAGCAGUGUCGUGAGCUGCUGUUGCCGCGAACUCUGAUUUAAGGCUGCGGAGAACACAUUCUGGAGCAGCAGAUUUUCUAGGAUAAGGAUGCACCAAAAAAAGCCAUUCGCAAACGAAACAGAGGGUGUGCGGCGUCUGGUCGGUGCUUGGAAGCGAUUCGCACUGCUGUAGGCGUGUACGCGCACCGUCGCAUGUGCGGCGAAGACUUUUGCGGCGGGUUGGAAUGCAUGGACGAGACGCGCACUCGUGCGUGCUCGUGAUGACACGGAUGGGAUGCGUGGCGCGUCGUGGCGCAGCUGUGGUCUCUCCUGUGAUGCGGCGUGCACGAGUGUGGCUUGGCACCGCAGAAUGACGACCGGCGCCGGGGCCACCACCGCCACUGGAACGCAUGUUUCUCUCCUCAUCGAGCUUCUCUACGCAACCGCCUUUUGAUCUAUUUCGCACCUUUUCUUUGUCCCCCCUCCCACGUGCAUACACACACACACAUAAAAACAUAUAUGUAUAUUCAUGAAG